GCCCGCGUGGCGGAAUGGUAGACGCAGCGGAUUCAAAAUCCGCCGGCCGCGAGGCCGUGGGAGUUCGAGUCUCCCCGCGGGCA
rnacentral:tRNA from 1 species